rnacentral:lncRNA from 1 species
AAAGCAGCUGUGCCCCUGUCCCCUCGAAGUCCAGCGGGCAGCCACCGUGUCCACGUCUGGGAGUGUGCCGGGACCUUCCUACCUCCUCUCGGUGUGAACAUUGCGGUGGACAGCACAGACGACCGGAGACAGACAGGGCUCCUCUUGGAAGGGCUGCCAACACCAAGUCUCAACUGGAUUCAGGAGGUCAAGUCCCAGGAUGCCCGGGAGGGAAGGGAAAGGAUCUGCUCAGCCACAGACUCUAGGUGUAGCCGACCUGUUGCCUGCGGGAAAGCGUCCCACAAGAUCUGAGAGCCAGGAGUCCGUGCUGAAGUCAGCCGCGAUCUUACGGGCGAGCAUCCCCAGAGUCCAGCGCCCACGGGAGGAAGACGUACACGGUGCCGGGAAAAGCAGCGGGCACCUUCAGAAGCUGGACAGCACCGGGGCCGCAGAGUACCAGAGGUCGGUUCCUGGGCUCUUCCCAAGACGCCAGGCCCAUGUCCACAAUUCCAGACUCCAUUCAACCGAGGCCAAGAGGGGAGCCCGCUGAAGACCCUCCUCACCUUGGACACACAUUCUGACGACAGCCUGGAGGAUGCCUGAACGCUCUGCACCUCAGAGUGGUCCCGGGUUUGGUGACACAGUCCCUUGCGUCCUCCGCAAAGAAGCCCAGUCAGGCCGCCGCAGAGCUGUGCUCCAGCCCAGGCUAUGGGCUCUGAAGGGGUUGGAAUGAGAAGUUUCUCCCAGCAUCCCCACCUCAUCUGUCUCUGAGGGUCUCCAUGUCCAGGCAAGCCCUUCCCCAGUCUAGAUGAACAGAAUGAAUCAAAGGAUGGGGGAGGGGUAGAGCAAAGAGGAAGAGCUGGCAAUUAAAAAGCAAAAGAAUUAAAAGCACCAAUCGGGAA